UUACAAUCGGACCGAGCCAUUUCACAUCUUGGGAAAUUUGAAUGGGUCUUUGGAGAAUUGGAAUCGUUAUUAUGAUAAUUUGCGUUGACAACCCAGCGUCUGCAUUGGGUUAUGAAAUUGACUUAAAUUCAACGUCAGGUCCACGCUUCCAUCAUUGUGGUGCUCUCAUCUGGCAGGGAAACAAAAGUUGUGAAGAGAAAAGAUGAAUAAAUUAGCAGUGAUAGCUCUACUGUCGUUAACAGUCCUUAUCCAUCAGUCACAUGGUCUGGGCAUCCAAAAUAUCAUCUGCAGCAACCAGUGUAGAUUCCGAUUCAGUCAGUGCAUGAACAAAUGUGUGAUGGAGAAGGGCAUCGUCAAGGAUUAUGAUGGCGGAUACGAAGACUGUACGCUUAUCUGUACCCAGUACUUGUCACAGUGUAGCUGCUCAAUGUCUUUUUGAUAACAUAAGCCUCGGAACCGGGACUCGGUCAGAUUUAUUGGAAAAUCUAUGACAAAAAAUAUAUAUCCCUCAUUGGAAAUCCGGAUUUAUAACAAAAGUAAUUAAUAAAGAAAUGAACUUGAGGGACUUUGAUGUAGUGUACUAUAAUAUCGACAGUAUACAAAUGUACAUUCUGUGUAGAUUUGAUAUCUGAAGGGUUACCGUGUUAUUUUCGUACGAUGCAUAUUUCAGUUUUUCUAGAUCAUUAUUAAUAAACUCCUAUACGCUUGGAA